rnacentral:rRNA from 1 species
UACUCAGGUUUUCUUGAUUAAAGAUUAAUUAUUUAGUAUAGAUAUAAUUAUUUUUUAAAUAAAAUAUUAAAGAUUUAAUUAUAAAUAAUGGAAUAAUUUAGAAUAAUUUUAGUUUAUUAGUAUAAAGAUAGAAUUUAAUAACUUAAAAAGGAAGGUAAUUUAAUUAGUGGUACCUUUUGUAUCAGGGUUUAAAUAAAAUGAAAUUGAAAGUUAAUUUCUCGAAAAUUUUUGAUUUAAUUUUAUUUAUAAAUAUGUAGAAAAAAAUUAUUUAAAAUAAUAUUGGUAGUUAAAAGUUAAUCGUGAAAAUUGAUAUCUAGUUUUUGGAUAAAUUAAUUUAAUUAAAAUGUUAAGUUUAAUAUAAUAAUUUUAUUUUAAUUAACUUAAAGGUUAAAUUAUAAAAAGUUUAGUUUUUAUAAUUUAUUAUAUAUUAUGAAUUAAAUUUUUAUUUAGAAUUAUUAUUGUUUAAAAUUAUUAAUUUUUUAUAAAUAAGAAAUUUUUUAUUUUAAUUUAUUUAAAUUAUUAAGUGUUUAUUCAAAUAAUUAUUUUAAUUAAUAAGAUAAAGAGAUAAUUUUAUAAUUAGUAAAUUUUAAAGAUUAAAUUUAGUAACUUGGCAAAUUUAAUUUACGCCUGUUUAUCAAAAACAUGUCUUGAAUAUAUAAUUUUAAGUCUAAUCUGCUCACUGAUUUUAUUUAAGGGCCGCAGUAUACUGACUGUGCAAAGGUAGCAUAAUCAAUAGUUUUUUAAUUGGAAACUGGAAUGAAUGAUUGGACGAUAAAUUGACUUUCUUAAUUUUAAUAGUUGAAUUUAAAUUUUAAGUUAAAAUACUUAAAUAAUAUUAAAAGACGAGAAGACCCUAUAGAUUUUUAUUAAUUUAAAAGAUUUUUAUCUUAAAUAAUUAAUUUAAUUGGGGUGAUUUUGUAAUAUAAAAAAUUUAAUUGUAAUAAACCAUAGAUAAAUGAAUUUUUUGAUCUAAAAUUUUUAAAUUAUAGAUUAAAUUACCUUAGGGAUAACAGCGUUAUAUUAUUUAAGAGUUCAUAUCUAUAAUAAUAAUUGCGACCUCGAUGUUGAAUUAAGAAAUAUUAUUAAGGAGAAGAAGCUUUAAUAAUUAGUCUGUUCGACUAUUAAAUUCUUACAUGAUUUGAGUUCAGACCGGCGUGAGCCAGGUCAGUUUCUAUCUUUAAUUUUGUUUUGUAAGUGGGUACGAAAGGACAAUUUAUAAAUAAAAUUUAUUAUAAGGUG